GCUUUCCUUCACAUAGAGAGCUACACCCCCGCCCCUUUUGUCAACACGAUCUCUCCUGUACAGGGUAUAGCCCUCCUUACCCGUGGUCCAGUCAUACUUCUACUCUGAAUCAUUAGAAACAGUCAUACGUAAUAGAAAUCAGAGGUGAGGAUAAAUAUUGGUCCUUUUUAUGAGAUAUUCCCUCCUUUAAUUUCUUAGAGGUAUUAUGGGAAAAGUCGGGUAUUUUAAAGCUCAAUUUGAAAGAAUUAACAUGGCUUGAAUAGGAUAUUCUAUGGAGAAGGGGUAAUUGGAACACAAGGACUAAGUAUUACGAUUUCAUUGUCACAAAGGAGAGGAUUAUGGCAUGUUAUGAAAUUCAGAACUAAAACCGCUGAAUUAUGGUUUUGGAGUUGCAUAUAAUACAUGUGACCUUUGUCUUUUCUUGCACUAUUCUUUUGUUGUUUUUGUAUUGCUAUAACCACUUGCUUUUCUACAGAUUAUUACUAUGAUGGAAUUACAACCUUGUCACUGAUUGCUGCAUUCUUUACAGGAAUCUGUUUAUACUGUACUUGCAUUACACGCUGUAAAAAUGAAAUCUUUAGUGAUGCUAAUGGACAUAGAUAACAUCUGUGCAGAAUUUCAAGGAAAUCACUGGGAUGCUGUGCAGACAUUGGGAUCUCUGGGAAAUUAAGUACUCCACCUAUCUCAUGGCAACUCCAGGAGCAGUCAACCAGAGGCAGUGUUAAUGGAGGAGAAGGCUGAGAUAUAUCAGGUUGAUAUUUGAAGUGUGAUGACCUGGAUUUUCUUCACAUUCAUUCACCUCUGUACUUGCUGUGAUGUUGAUGUGUUAGCUUGGAUGAAGACAGCUCUUAUACAAUUUCUAGAGAUUUCUGAUUUAGAAGCUAGGUUCUUCUGACUUCGUGUGUGUAGACCAAUGAGAUUGCUCAUGUGAGAAAAGGAAAAGGGCUGUCCUCUGAUCCCCUUAAUUCCAUAGACAUUCUGCAUUUUACUUCAGUGGGAGAAGAACUCUGAAGCCAAAUCUUCAAAACUGGGCACCUAACACUCACUGACUUCAGCAGGAAACUGGACACCUGAAUAUCUCUGAGGAUAUCGUCCUGAGUCUUUUUGGUUUGUUUUGUCUUCUGGAAGGAAAAACACUUAAUUAUGUAAAUAAUUCAAGACUUUGUAUGCGUCUUGAGUGGACUUUUCUGGUACUAAAGAAUCAUACACUGUCAAAAACUUAUCUUAGCAUACAAUGCUAGAUUACUUUCGGCUGUUGACUUACUCUUUUCUAAAUUAAACUGGCAUCAGUAAUAUACUUUUAUAAUAAAAUGUGAUUUAGUAUGUGAAUUUAUCUUCUA
rnacentral:lncRNA from 1 species